CCCACCAAAGGCUCCGCAACUGGAAGAGCCACUUCUGUCCCGCCCCACUCUGUGGCGUAGGUGGGACAUUUCCGGUCGUUUGUUGCGCGUGCGCGCGCUCUGACGUUCCCUGCGUCUCAUCCCCGCGCAGCCCUGCCCGUCGGGCGUUGGGUUUCCCGGCGCUAGUAGCGCUGGGUCUUCGGCACCCUCGGUCCGGUUGGGGCUGUCAAGCCGGACCAAAUAGGUUGUUUCUCUGCAGUUUCCAACAUGGCAGGCAGGUUUAAAUAGACAUGGAUAAGAAGUCCACUCACAGAAAUCCUGAAGAUGCCAAGGCUGGCAAAAAUGAAGAUAAACAAAAACGAAAGAAAAAAAGAAAGCAAAACCUAAAUCACCACCAAUCCCGACAUAGAUCGGUGACAUCUUUUUCUUCAGAUGAUCGUGUGUUUCCUUCUUCAUCAUCAUCAUCUUCAGCAAGCCAGACGGAUUCGAGUACUGAAGAUGCUACUAAGGAAAAAAUUAAGAAGAGGGGAGAGAAAACAAAUAAAUGGAGAAAAAAAAGAAAGGUUAGUAAUUUUGAGUAAUAUAAGAAUAAGAUUUAGCUAUUAGAGGAUAUUGUACUUAUUAAAUAAGAAACAAAAUUUAUAAGGAAUUUGAAGAGAUAUAAGGCAAAGAAUGGUUAACAUAGUAGUUAACAUGGUGGUGCUAAGCUUAUGGUGUUCUUUGCUGCUUUUCAAAUACUUCUGAGAAAACUAUACAGACAAGUAAAAUCUCAGUUACAAUUCUUUAGAUUCUUUCAAAUUUUGAUGUUAACAUAGUUAUAAAAUAGCAUAUGUGCUUUGAAUUUUAUAACAGUUAUAAAAUAGUUAUAACAUAGUUAUAAAAUAGCAUAUAUGCUUUGGAUUUUACUCUGUUAGGCAUUGGGAACAUUUGAACAUCUUAAAACAGAAAUGACAUUUUCUAACCUUUGUUCUAGGAAUAUAAUUCAAUAUCAGAAUGACUUGGAG
rnacentral:lncRNA from 1 species